rnacentral:rRNA from 1 species
GACGAACGCUGGCGGCGUGCCUAAUACAUGCAGGUCGAGCGCAGGAAAUCGACGGAACCCUUCGGGGGGAAGUCGAUGGAAUGAGCGGCGGACGGGUGAGUAACACGUAAAGAACCUGCCCUCAGGUCUGGGAUAACCACGAGAAAUCGGGGCUAAUACCGGAUGGGUCAUCGGACCGCAUGGUCCGAGGAUGAAAGGCGCUUCGGCGUCGCCUGGGGAUGGCUUUGCGGUGCAUUAGCGAGUUGGUGGGGUAAUGGCCCACCAAGGCGACGAUGCAUAGCCGACCUGAGAGGGUGAUCGGCCACACUGGGACUGAGACACGGCCCAGACUCCUACGGGAGGCAGCAGUAGGGAAUCUUCCACAAUGGACGAAAGUCUGAUGGAGCAACGCCGCGUGAACGAUGAAGGCCUUCGGGUCGUAAAGUUCUGUUGUAAGGGAAGAACAAGUGCCGCAGGCAAUGGCGGCACCUUGACGGUACCUUGCGAGAAAGCCACGGCUAACUACGUGCCAGCAGCCGCCGUAACAC